CAGGCAGAAACACGGUCAUCAGACAAUCAUGGAAGGACAACCCAGAACAGGAAGUUCUGAGGAAUUUUGUGAAGAGGAAACAAGUAAUGGGCAAGAAUCAACCACCUCUGAUCCACAAAUUGAAUAUAGCUGCUUUAUGACUGAGUAUUUGUAAAAACUGGCCUGCAUCCAACCCCCAAGGAAUCAUCCAAUUCUAGUCAGCUUCCAAAUGAUGAACUGGAUCACAUAGGAGCUUUGGAAGAGUAUUCAGAAAUUACUGAAAACUUGCCGCUGCUGAUGACCUCAUCAACCUACUGCAGCAUAAAUUGUAGUAACAGGAUUUCAGUCAUCAAAUGUUAUAUUUAUUACGCUAAAAUUUUCAUCUUAAAAACUCAAACUGACCAAUCAAUCUACUACUUAAGUAACAAUUAUUAAAAAAACAUCAAUUUGUGUUCAUUAAAGAUAAUUUCAUCACUUCCCCUAAACCUGCUGAGAGUUAAAGAUUAAUUGAA